GCGAGUGAAGCGGGAAGAGCUCAGACGUAAAAUCUUCGGAGUUGUCGUCUGGAGAAGUAAGAAUAAGGCAGGAAGGUGAGGAAAGUCUUCUGGAACGAAGCGCCAUGGAGGGUGACAGCCCCGUUAACUCACCUGAAUGUCAAAAUUUCUGCUUUCUACGAGUCGAGUUGUUUGGGAUUGCAGCUCUAAGUGGGUGGUAAAUUCCAUCUAAAGCUAAAUAUCGGUGGGAGACCGAUAGCGAACAAGUACCGUGAGGGAAAGAUGCAAAGAACUUUGAAAAGAGAGUGAAAGAGUACCUGAAAUUGCUGAAAUGGAACCGAUGGGAGGCAGUGUUGUCUGUGGUCACUCGUGGCUGCAGCAAGUUAGGCUUCCUUGAGUGCGCGGGAGAGGUGCCUAGACCUGUAUGGGCUAGACUUUACCGUCGUGCACUUGAGGGACUCUGACGAAAUGCCUCUUAUCAUCCCGUCUUGAAACACGGACCAAGGAGUCUAACAUGUGUGCGAGUGCUCGGGGUGAACCCCCCAGCGCGGAAUUAACGUGAAGGCUCUCUUUUGAGCUGAGGUAGGAUGUGAAAGCAGCACUAUCGACCGACCAUGAUCCCUCGGGAGAAAGGUUUGAGUGUGAGCAUACAUGUUGGGACCCGAAAGAUGGUGAACUAUGCCUGAGUAGGGCGAAGCCAGGGGAAACUCUGGUGGAGGUCCGUAGCGAUUCUAACGUGCAAAUUGAUCGUCGAACUUGGGUAUAGGGGCGAAAGACUAAUCGAACCAUCUAGUAGCUGGUUCCUCCCGAAAUUUCCCUCAGGAUAGCUGCAACCGAACAGUUUUAUCAGGUAAAGCGAAUGAUUAGAGGCAUCAGGGGUGGAACGUCCUUGACCUAUUCUCAAACUUUAAAUGGGUAAGAGCCCUGGGUUGCUUAAUUGAACCCGGCGGUUGAAUGACGGUUGCUAGUGGGCCAAUCUGGGUAAGCUAGAUUGGCGAUGCGGGAUGAACCGAACGUCGAGUUAAAGUGCCAAAGUAUCCGCUAACCUAGAUCCCACAAAAGGUGUUGGUUCAUUAAGACAGCAGGACGGUGGCCAUGGAAGUCGGAAACCGCUAAGGAGUGUGUAACAACUCACCUGCCGAAUGAACUAGCCCUGAAAAUGGAUGGCGCUUAAGCGGAUCACUUAUACUCGACCAACACGGCAAGUGCGAGGCUGUGUUGAGUAGGGAGGCGUGGAGCUCGUUGUGCAUUCUGUGGCGCAAGCCGGGAUGAAACGGGCUCUAGUGCAGAUCUUGGUAGCAGUAGCAAAUAUUCAAAUGAGAACUUUGAAGACUGAAGUGGAGAAAGGUUCCAUGUGAACAGUAAUUGGACAUGGGUGAGUCGAUCCUAAGAGAUAGGAGAAUUCUUUUUGAAAGCGGUCCUUCCUCGGUUGGACCCGGCUAUCGAAAGGGAAUCGGGUUAAUAUUCCCGAACCAGGACGUGGAUAAUGAGUGGUAACACAAACGAAAUUGGGGACGUUGGCGGAAGCCUCGGGAAGAGUUCUCUUUUCUUUUUAACAGCCCGGUAGACCUUGGAAUCGGAUUGACCGGCGAUAAGGUUUACUGACUGGUAAAGCGGCAUACUUUCUGUGCCGUCCGAUGCGCUUCCGACGACCCGUGAAAACCCAAUGGCGUGACUUAUUCGCACCCCUGGUCGUACUCAUAACCGCCUCAGGUCUCCAAGGUGUGCAGCCUCUAGUCGAUAGAACAA
rnacentral:rRNA from 1 species